UAUAUAGAUGUGUGAAGGCGCAUGGCUCAUUGGUUAGAUCAUCGAGUACACAAUCAUGAGAUAGUGAGUUCGAUUCCCGGACCGGGCUGUGUGUUGUGUUCUUGAGCAAGGCACUUUAUUUCAUAUUGCUCCGGUUCACUCAGCUGUAGAAAUGAGUUGCGACAUC